GAUGAACGCUGGCGGCGUGCCUAAUACAUGCAAGUCGAACGCGCAGCGAAAGGUGCUUGCACCUUUCAAGCGAGUGGCGAACGGGUGAGUAACACGUGGAUAACCUGCCUCAAGGCUGGGGAUAACAUUUGGAAACAGAUGCUAAUACCGAAUAAAACUUAGUAUCGCAUGAUACAAAGUUAAAAGGCGCUACGGCGUCACCUAGAGAUGGAUCCGCGGUGCAUUAGUGAGUUGGUGGGGUAAAGGCUUACCAAGACGAUGAUGCAUAGCCGAGUUGGAAGACUGAUCGGCCACAUUGGGACUGAGACACGGCCCAAACUCCUACGGGAGGCUGCAGUAGGGAAUCUUCCACAAUGGGCGCAAGCCUGAUGGAGCAACGCCGCGUGUGUGAUGAAGGCUUUCGGGUCGUAAAGCACUGUCGUAUGGGAAGAAAUGCUAAAAUAGGGAAUGAUUUUAGUUUGACGGUACCAUACCAGAAAGGGACGGCUAAAUACGUGCCAGCAGCCGCAGUAA
rnacentral:rRNA from 1 species